CAUGCUAGAGCACAUUUUCAAUGUGCUCCACAACGAGAAGGCGACGACGCAUUCGUAUGUCAAUCCAUAUCAACUUUCGAUGCCAUUGACUGCGCCUACCAUGGUGACCAAGGGUAACGGGGAAUCGGGGUUCGAUUCCAUACAGGGACCCUGACAAAUGGCUACCACAUGCAAAGAAGGCAG